rnacentral:rRNA from 1 species
AUACGGAGGAUCCGAGCGUUAUCCGGAUUUAUUGGGUUUAAAGGGAGCGUAGGCGGACGCUUAAGUCAGUUGUGAAAGUCUGCGGCUCAACCGUAAAAUUGCAGUUGAUACUGGGUGUCUUGAGUACAGUAGAGGCAGGCGGAAUUCGUGGGGUAGCGGUGAAAUGCUUAGAUAUCACGAAGAACUCCGAUUGCGAAGGCAGCCUGCUGGACUGUAACUGACGCUGAUGCUCGAAAGUGUGGGUAUCAAACAGGAUUAGAUACCCUGGUAGUCCACACAGUAAACGAUGAAUACUCGCUGUUUGCGAUAUACAGUAAGCGGCCAAGCGAAAGCGUUAAGUAUUCCACCUGGGGAGUACGCCGGCAACGGUGAAACUCAAAUGAAUUGACGGGG